GCUUAAGUAGCUUAAACUGUAAAGCAUUACAUUGAAGCUGUAAAUAUGUCAAAUGUCCGUAAGCA
rnacentral:tRNA from 1 species